AGCAAAGAUGGCCUUCAAUCAUAUCAAGGUUAUUAAGCACAUUACUUGACCUCAAGGGAGAACCAAAACAAGUUCUAGUGAGAAACAAACAUGCUUAAACAAUCACUCAAUAAUAAGAAAUAAGAUUGCAAAAAUGGUGACAGUCAAUACUCAAAUCCUCUCAUCUUGCAUGAUGAGCAGUCUUUGCGACACGCGGACUUCUUGACAUCCGUUCUCUUUUGUCCGACAUUCGAUUUGAGCUCCGUUUGCGCCCACGGACUUGUAUAUUCAUGAACUCUUCUCAAACAUCAUUAAAAGCAUCCCAAAACGAAUCCAAAUAUCUGUAAAAACAACACAAAUAUGGAUGAGUAGUCUAUUCCACAAAAUAAACAAAUACAAAGCUAGACAACUCAACUUUCACUAGAAAAACACUCAAUAAAGCAUUUAAAUGACGUAUCAUAGGAGUGAAAAUACAUGUAAAUCACACAUUGAUUCUGUAGUAGCCCCACCUUAUCUACGUUAUUAUUUGUUAUACAAUUAAAUUGAGAUAUUAGAUUUUAAUAUAGAUAGUCAUCAAAUAGAGGAUUGUAGUAAUCCAAUUUCUAUAUGGGAUUAGUUGAUUAAGUAAGAAAUAUAGAUCCAAUUAUUUAUAUUUUUAGGAAGCCCAAUAAUCUUUUUAAAUGGUACUAAUAGCUUGUUAGAGGAAGAAGCCAAAGUCUAAUAUUAUUAUUUGGACAACCCAAUCUCUGUAUAUACAUUUAGCUUUAGUAUAAGCCCAAUAGUGUUAUUGUUUGGGCCAAUGAUUUUAUUUGGUAACGAAAGCCCAACCUUUGUAUAUGAAUUCAGUUUAGAUGAGCCUAAUAGCUCUUACUUGGGCAAAGAAUGUGAUGAGAAUAAUGGGAAGCCCAACUCCUCAUAUUUAUAUUAUUAGAGGACCAAUAAACAUCUGAUAAGCUUUAUUUAUUUGUUAAAACCCAUUAGAACAGAUUAGUUCCUUCAAGGAACACGUAGCAUAUAAUACCANAAUCUUUGUAUAUGAAUUCAGUUUAGAUGAGCCUAAUAGCUCUCACUUUGGGCAAAGAAUGUGAUGAGAAUAAUGGGAAGCCCAACUCCUCAUAUUUAUAUUAUUAGAGGACCAAUAAACAUCUGAUAAGCUUUAUUUAUUUGUUAAAACCCAUUAGAACAUAUUAGUUCCUUCAAGGAACACGUAGCAUAUAAUACCACAUGUAUCUCCCAACUUGUGACUCAGCCAAUCCCUCAAACCGACUCAAACCAGUAUAAAUCUGGUGAGCUACAGAAAAUUUAAUUUUUUCCCCAUCCUGAAAUUUCUAAACAAUAAAGCAGAUAUUCAUCCAAAACAUGGUUCAUCCCAACAGUUAUCACACCACGCAAUUUACCAACAAGCAGGUAAUAUUCUUUCUACAGCUCAAUAAUCCACUCAUAGACGGGAAUCAAGUACAACAGAGAUAAACAUCAAUUUUCUUUAAUAUCUACAGUAUACAUCUACUCUACAAAGAGUUAUAAACCAGAUAAUACAAUAAAAGAAGUUUGAUUAAAAAAAAAAAAAACUGGAUCUUGAGCAAUAGAUGGACUUAACUCCCAAAGAUAUCCCGAAUCGUUGAUUCCUGAAAUAGGAAAUAAUUUGAGAUCUAUUAGUUUGUGAUGUUAAAACUGAAAUAGAAAAUAGAUUGGAAGUUUGGAAGUCUGUUAAAAUAGGAUUUUGAACUGGGAAAUAGAGAAGAUGGAAGGAAGAAGGAGGGGAUUACCAGCCGCAGCCCCGAGCCGCCGCGGCGGAGGCGCGACUGGCAGCGGCAACCACUGGCGCUGGCCGCACCACCGUGGAUACAGACAAUCGAGAGAAAGAGGAAGGGUGAACGAGGGAGAUAAAGAGUGAGAUAGAGAGAGAUAGACGACAGAAAGAGGAAAAGGAAGGCAGAAUGAGAUGGAGGGAGAGCAGGGCGGCGGCGACCACCGGUGCUGCAUGCGUCGUCGCGGCUCGCAGCGGCCGCCGCGGCCUGGCCAGAAGAGAGAGAGAUCGAGAGGGAGAGCAGAGGAAGAGGAAAGAAGAGAAGGGGAGAGAGACAUGGGCUUACCUGAGUCAGAGGAGGCGGCGGCGCGACGCAGACAACGGCGGUGGAGGCAGGCCUCGCCGGAGAAACGAAUUCCAGAGGGGAAGAAGGGAGGUAGAAACCCUAGGAAUUAGAUUUUUUUAAUUUGGGGAUUUAGAUGUAGGGAAGGGAAGAAAAUAGAGGGGGAAGAGAGGGGCCGGCCGCGCCGCACCAGAGGCGGCGAGGACCGGUGACGUCCACCGGAGAGCGAGAGCUACUGAGAGACGCAGAAAGAGGGAGCGAAAAGAGAGAGAGAGAGCGUGUAAAGAAGAAAGGAAAAGUGAGAGAGAAAAAAGUGUUUUCCCAUUUAAUUAAAGAAGAUUCUAG
rnacentral:lncRNA from 1 species